rnacentral:lncRNA from 1 species
ACCUACAGGAGUUGCCAAUUCUCUCAUAGUUCUUUCUCUUUGUACUGGGGGCCUAAUUGCUAGAUUUUCUUGAAUGAUUUGGUUCUGGACAGCAUGUCCAUUUGGGGCAGCAACUUGUGGAAUAUUUUCAGCCAUGGAUGAAGAGGAAUGGUGCGAUUCAGAGGUGUUCAGAAGUGCUUCUGCGCAGGGAUCUCCUUGUGGUGCGAUUGGAGCUUCUUCCGGUUGAACUGCUUGCUUUCCUAAUCUUCUGAAAGUGCGUUC